rnacentral:rRNA from 1 species
UACGUAGGGGGCUAGCGUUGUCCGGAAUCAUUGGGCGUAAAGCGGGUGUAGGUGGUCUGAUAAGUCAGAUGUGAAAGCCCAGGGCUUAACCCUGGAAGUGCAUAUGAUACUGUCAGGCUUGAGUGUGGGAGAGGAUAGCAGAAUUCCUGGUGUAGUGGUGAAAUACGUAGAUAUCAGGAGGAAUACCGGAGGCGAAGGCGGCUAUCUGGCCCAACACUGACACUGAGAACCCGAAAGCGUGGGGAUCAAACAGG